AUUUCAUGUGCCACUUGAAAAAUCAUUUUACUUUAGGCCCCGUUCGGGGUGGUUACCAGUUUUCAGUUUUCUAUUUUGAAAUGCAUUUUUGAAACAAAAACGUGUUGUGCAAAACUUGGCCGGAGUUGGUUUUUACACCAUUUUGAAACAGCUUUGACCCUUUUUGAGCAAAAACAAGGUUUAUAGUGAAUGGUUUAUGUUUUACCCUACAGACCUUUUCUUUCAGGACUGAAUCUCCCAUUGUGCCACUCCCCUAACAACUCCUUUCUUCCUCUUUUUCACGAUCUCGAUCUACCCUCUUCUUCCGUCCCAUCGUUGUACUGUCGCUCUUCCUCUCCCUCUGGUGCGGCGAUCUGCCCUUACUCCGCUGUGUCGCCACUCUUCCUUCGUUUUGCCACCACACUCCAUCUCCCUCUAGUAUGGUGUUCUCAUUUGUUCAAAUCCUGAUCUCCAUCUGUUGCAUCGCUUGUCGCUCUUUCUCCCUCUCGGUGUUGGAAGUGUGCAAUCAUUUUGAAGAUAGAGUAAGGAAAUGUUGCUUUUAUUUCAGUGGAGCAAGGGUUCAAAGUUAAACAUACAAGUUGUUUUGUGUCAUGUGUUUGAAACUUAAGGCCAUGUUCGGGUUAACUCUCCCAUUGGCUUGCUAUUAGGCUCGAGCUUCAAUUAGCCUUAAUUGCAUCUUAAAAAAUAGGUUUGAAGAAAAGGAAGAUUAUUGAUCCAUCUCAUGAUUCAACCUAUGUUUUAUGUAAAGAAGAACAUCUUGAAUCUGUAGAUUUGUUCGCUAGUCGAUUUUCUUAUUUGGUGUGGCAUAAGUGUUACAAUUGGUUGAGACACCAACAAGCCCUACCAUCUAGUGGCAAACCUCAUUUUUGGCAACAUUUGGGCACUUUGGCAGGGGGCAGCAUAGGAAUGUUGUCAUCUUCUAAUUAUUUUAUUUCAUGGAGGGACAUGUAUGUUUUGAUUAAUUUUUUAUUUUAGUUAAAUAUAUGAUCUAAUUAUUGUCUAUAUGGUUUUUAGAUCUGUGUUUUGUCCAUUUUUAAAAAUACUUUUGUCACCAUGAAAGUUGCAGGCUUGGA